UUGUGAGGUUAAGCGACUAAGCGUACACGGUGGAUGCCCUGGCAGUCAGAGGCGAUGAAGGACGUGCUAAUCUGCGAUAAGCGUCGGUGAGGUGAUAUGAACCGUUAUAACCGGCGAUUUCCGAAUGGGGAAACCCAGUGUGUUUCGACACACUAUCAUUAACUGAAUCCAUAGGUUAAUGAGGCGAACCGGGGGAACUGAAACAUCUAAGUACCCCGAGGAAAAGAAAUCAACCGAGAUUCCCCCAGUAGCGGCGAGCGAACGGGGAGGAGCCCAGAGCCUGAAUCAGUGUGUGUGUUAGUGGAAGCGUCUGGAAAGGCGCGCGAUACAGGGUGACAGCCCCGUACACAAAAAUGCACAUAUUGUGAGCUCGAUGAGUAGGGCGGGACACGUGGUAUCCUGUCUGAAUAUGGGGGGACCAUCCUCCAAGGCUAAAUACUCCUGACUGACCGAUAGUGAACCAGUACCGUGAGGGAAAGGCGAAAAGAACCCCGGCGAGGGGAGUGAAAAAGAACCUGAAACCGUGUACGUACAAGCAGUGGGAGCCUCUUAAUGGGGUGACUGCGUACCUUUUGUAUAAUGGGUCAGCGACUUAUAUUCUGUAGCAAGGUUAACCGAAUAGGGGAGCCGAAGGGAAACCGAGUCUUAACUGGGCGUUAAGUUGCAGGGUAUAGACCCGAAACCCGGUGAUCUAGCCAUGGGCAGGUUGAAGGUUGGGUAACACUAACUGGAGGACCGAACCGACUAAUGUUGAAAAAUUAGCGGAUGACUUGUGGCUGGGGGUGAAAGGCCAAUCAAACCGGGAGAUAGCUGGUUCUCCCCGAAAGCUAUUUAGGUAGCGCCUCGUGAAUUCAUCUCCGGGGGUAGAGCACUGUUUCGGCAAGGGGGUCAUCCCGACUUACCAACCCGAUGCAAACUGCGAAUACCGGAGAAUGUUAUCACGGGAGACACACGGCGGGUGCUAACGUCCGUCGUGAAGAGGGAAACAACCCAGACCGCCAGCUAAGGUCCCAAAGUCAUGGUUAAGUGGGAAACGAUGUGGGAAGGCCCAGACAGCCAGGAUGUUGGCUUAGAAGCAGCCAUCAUUUAAAGAAAGCGUAAUAGCUCACUGGUCGAGUCGGCC
rnacentral:rRNA from 1 species